rnacentral:rRNA from 1 species
CAGUCGAGCGGAACGAGUUAUCUGAACCUUCGGGGGACGAUAACGGCGUCGAGCGGCGGACGGGUGAGUAAUGCCUAGGAAAUUGCCCUGAUGUGGGGGAUAACCAUUGGAAACGAUGGCUAAUACCGCAUGAUGCCUACGGGCCAAAGAGGGGGACCUUCGGGCCUCUCGCGUCAGGAUAUGCCUAGGUGGGAUUAGCUAGUUGGUGAGGUAAGGGCUCACCAAGGCGACGAUCCCUAGCUGGUCUGAGAGGAUGAUCAGCCACACUGGAACUGAGACACGGUCCAGACUCCUACGGGAGGCAGCAGUGGGGAAUAUUGCACAAUGGGCGCAAGCCUGAUGCAGCCAUGCCGCGUGUGUGAAGAAGGCCUUCGGGUUGUAAAGCACUUUCAGUCGUGAGGAAGGUGGUGUAGUUAAUAGCUGCAUUAUUUGACGUUAGCGACAGAAGAAGCACCGGCUAACUCCGUGCCAGCAG